rnacentral:ncRNA from 1 species
AAAAACACAGUGAUAAGAAGUAGUAGGUUUUUGAAACGAUACAGAGAGUUAUCGGUUGGUGUGAGAUAACAAGAUGGAUAAAACUGAACUGGUCUUGGAGUGGUUCGCUGAACAGUAGUAGGCGAUAACGUAUGUUCCCCGUUACAGGAACAGGAUAUUAGGUUAUACCAGUAUCUGUAUGAGGGUAUCCCUUUUUAGGGGAUAAAUUAGAAGUGGUACCGUGGAAGGAAUAUGCCUUUCAUCUUCUUU